UACGAAGGGAGCUAGCGUUGUUCGGAAUCACUGGGCGUAAAGCGCACGUAGGCGGAUGUGUCAGUCAGGGGUGAAAUCCCGGAGCUCAACUUCGGAACUGCCUUUGAUACAGCACGUCUUGAGUCCGAUAGAGGUGGGUGGAAUUCCUAGUGUAGAGGUGAAAUUCGUAGAUAUUAGGAAGAACACCGGUGGACGAAGGCGGCCCACUGGAUCGGUACUGACGCUGAGGUGCGAAAGCGUGGGGGAG
rnacentral:rRNA from 1 species